GCCGUCAUAGCUCAAUUGGUAGAGCACUGGCCUGAAAACCCAGUGGCCGAGGUUCGAUUCCUCGUGUCGGCAC
rnacentral:tRNA from 1 species